AGAAAAAUUAAUUUACAUUCAUCAGUAUAAAUUUAUAGCAGAAAAUCCAAAAGUAAUAUUAUUACAAUUUCUGUACAAACUGCUCAAGACCAAUUUACAAUGCACAUACAGUCAUUUACAUCAAAAUAAAGAUAUACAAUAACGGUAUAAUGUAAUACUCGACAAAAGAUCCAAAGGUGGUACUAUGAUCCUCAGCAUCUUACUUGGCUGCUUUACUAGUCUCUCUACCCGCGACAGCAAUAAAAAGCCAUUGCUGAGUACAUGACUCAGUAGUGCACAACAUACUAAAAAUACUCCUUUAUGCAUAAUUAAAUCACAGAUAUUUAAUUAUAAUGAUGAAGUCAGUAAAUAGAUGCAAAAUAAAUUUUAAAUUUUAAUCAAGCAUUUUCGUUUCAGAAGUCACAAAACAAAUUUUAUAAAAAUACGCAGUCGUAUCAUGCCAUUAAUAUAAUGUUCAUCUAAAUAGCCAGAGGCUUAUGAGGCAUACCAAGGCUAGCUAGCUCAAAU
rnacentral:misc_RNA from 1 species